rnacentral:misc_RNA from 1 species
UACUUCAAAACAUUAGUACUUCCAAACAUGGCUGCAAUCAUAAGAGGCGUUCUCUCUUCAAAACCCAUCUUUUUCAACCCAAUUCUUCUACCAUACCAAUAGCUUGCCUCAUCAACAUCUAAACCCUUCUCCUCAAUCUCACUUUUGAAGCCAACAAGGUCAUCAGAGGCUGACAAUUCAAGCAACACUGAGCCUUUGGACAAGAUACCAUACUUCGGACUGCCAGACUCAACUUCCAUGGUGGGAUUUGCAGGGAAAAGUUUACCCUUGGAACCGCUGCACAUAGCCUAACCCUAUAAGCAGUCUCUUGUGUUGUGAGAAGAAAAGAAGGAGAGAUUAAUGAAGUGAGGUAAGUAGCUUAGUAAAGGUGUAUAUAGAAGCUGAUAAAAUGAAGCUGUGAGCUGCAGGUAGAAGAGAGCAAUGGUGGGCUCUUUAUAUGCAGAAAAGAUAUCUUCAAGAGGCAAG